rnacentral:lncRNA from 1 species
CCUCCCUCACUUGAGCACAAUCCAAGAUGAAAGUUUCUGGGUUGUGUCCCCUUCGCUUCCUCUCACCCUCGCUCCCCCGCGGAGCCAAGGAGCCAGCAAUUGUGCAAGAGGAGACCGGCGCACAGGGCGCGUAUCACGGAGCGCAUGGUACGAGCCGCCGGCUCCGGUGAUUAAUUAUCAGUAACCGAUGGCCUCGCGCUACCACGUCGGCUUUCCCAGCAGAGCCAGCAAGCCGAACGCCUCCAGCGCGGCCGGGACGGAGGAGCGGCUCUGGGGAAGACGCCGAGGCUGCGCCCGAGGGAGAGCGGGCCGGAGCCGGCGAAGGGAAUGCAGGGGCGGGCGCAGAGGGCUGGCUGGCAAGGAGGAGCGGAGCGGAGGAGCGAGGACCGAGCAGCACAGCCCGCCACGCACGCCGACUCCUCCAGCAACCCUCGGCGCUGGCAGCCAAGCCUGCACAGCCUCGUCUCUCUUCUCAGGUCUGAACGAAGCUGCCUCCAGCCACAUGAAGUCAGUAGGGCUGUUCUGAGGGGCCCCGAGAUUUGAUGACUGUUUUUUAGGUUGCGGAACCUACUCCGAGAGAGCAAACACUUUGGACGAAGUGAUUCAUAUUGAUAGAUACAUUUGUUGGGAGGUGGCUUUUUUCAUUCUCAACAGAAAACAAAGAAAUAAAUUAAGUCUUCCCCUGACCCAGAUUGUACUGUGAAACUUUUCAACAAUGUCUCUGCUUUCUUUUACUUCGGUAUCCUUUCCCCUUUUUCUUUUAAGACGCCCUUAGGGAAACCAUGAAGUAACCCUGCACAUUCCAGUAACACAGUUAUGACAAAACAAGAGCCUAACUAGGAAGUGACCACAUUUUAAAAAGUAUUUAGAAAGAAAAACACCAGAAACAAAAGUGCCCAUAACAAU